AUGAGGUGGAAACGGACAGAGCUGGCGUAUCUGGUCUGCAUUCACCCGUCUGUUGUUGGGCGUUGGGCUUCCUGCCUCCAGACUGGGGUUGGUUGUCUUUCUGUUCAGCGGCUGAUGGGGCAUUUGCAGGCGGAGUGCGCUGAGAUGCUCGGGGUAGCUGCGUGAACUUGGCUUUGAGGCCAGCCCUUCGGGGUCUGGUACCCGGGCCAGGGGAAUGCUGUUUACUCUGGGUGAGAGUGUGCAAUGGUUUCGGGUCCGUGUUGGCUCGAGCUGAGUGUCGGUGGCGGUCGCAUGCGACACGUACCAGCAAUCAGUUCGGUCCAGCUCGGGCUCUCAUUUGUGCGUUCUCGGUGUAAAAGCCGGUUAUCUGUCCGACCCGUCUUGAAACACGGACCAAGGAGUUUAGCGUAUGCGCGAGUCAUUGGGUGUUGAAAACCCAAAGGCGUAAUGAAAGUGAAGGCAUCCUUGCGGAGCUGAUGUGUGAUCCCUGGCACUGCGGUGUUGGGGCGCAACAUAGUCCCGUCUCGAUCGCAUGCGAUGGGGCGGAGACAGAGCGUAUGCGCUGAGACCCGAAAGAUGGUGAACUAUUCCUGAGCAGGAUGAAGCCAGAGGAAACUCUUUGAAGUCCGAAGCGAUUCUGACGUGCAAAUCGAUCG
rnacentral:rRNA from 1 species